GACGAACCGUGCGAACGUUAUUCGGAAUCAUUGGGCUUAAAGCGCGUGUAGGCGGAUUCGUGCGUCUGUUGUUGAAAUCCCCCGGCUCAACCGGGGAAGUGGCGCGGAUACGACGAGUCUGGAGGGGCAUAGGGGGACCUGGAACUUCCGGUGGAGCGGUGAAAUGCGUUGAGAUCGGAAGGAACGCCCGUGGCGAAAGCGAGGUCCUGGAUGCCUACUGACGCUGAGACGCGAAAGCCAGGGGAGCGAACGGG
rnacentral:rRNA from 1 species